rnacentral:tRNA from 1 species
GAAGACAUAGUUAAAGUAAAACAUUAGAUUGGGGUUCUAAAAAUAAGGGUAAAAGUCCCAUUAUCCACC